rnacentral:ncRNA from 1 species
UACCUGGUUGAUCCUGCCUGUAGCAUAUCCUUGUCUCAAAGAUUAAGCCAUGCAAGUCUAAGUACAUAGGGCUGGAACAGUGAAAUUGCGAAUGGAUCAUUAAACCAGUUAUGCUUCCUUUGGUCAUUUGCUCCCUCCUACUUGGGCAACUGUGGUAAUUUUAGAGCUAAUACAUGCUGAGGAGCUCUGAUCCUGGCACCCCCCACCUCUGCUGUGGAUACAUCCAUUUGUUAGACCAAAAUCAACUUGGGAGCUGCCCCCAACCCCCAACCAGGGGUAGGGGUGCCCUGGCCACUUUGGUGAGUCUAGGUAACCUCGGACUGAUCACAGGCCCCCCUUGGUGGUGAUGACCCAUUGGAACAUCUGCCCUAUCAACUUUCAAUGGUACUUGCCAUGCCUACCAUGGUGACCACGGGUGAUGGGGAAUCAGGGUUCGGUUCUGGAGAGGGAGCCUAAGAACUGGCUACCACAUCCAAGGAUGGCAACAGGCACCCAAAUUACCCACUCCCAGGCUGUGAUGAAAAAUAACAAUCCAGAACUCUUUCGAGGCCCUGUCAUUGGAAUGAGUACACUUUUAAGUCCUUUAAGGAGGAUCCAUUGGAGGGCAAGUCUGGUGCCAGCAGCCACAGUAAUUCUAGCUCCAAUAGCGUAAAUUAAAGUUGCUGCAGUUAAAAAGCUCAUCAUUGGAUGUUGGGGUUGAGCUGGUGGUCCUCCACGAAGGGAGUGAGCCCCCACCUGUCCAAGCUCCUGCCCCUCAGUACCCCCUUGUUCUUAGCGGAGUGUCCCACUGAAGCAUUUACUUUGAAAAAAAUGGUGUUCAAAGCAGGUCUGGAUACCCCAGCUAGGAAUAAUGGAAUAGGACCCUGGUUCUAUUUUGUUGGUUUUUGGAAGUGGGGCCAUGCUUAAGAGGGAUGAUGGCAUGGUAGGACACUGGCUGAGCGCAUGAGGUAGAGUGCUACGUGGCUAGAUUAGAAGGAGAUUAGAAAAGACUUACAUCUCCCUUGAUCAUUA